AAUUCAUAGUUGCACUUUCGUUGGAAUUUCUCUUCCCUCUUUAAAACGUUUCUCCCGCCCACCUCAUUCGACUCCCUACAACUUUGCUUCUUCGACUAGAUUCAUGGCGAUGCCUCUACAUUCGUCACAGUGCCAAAGCCCUUUAUCAACGCGGCUAAUUCACCUCCGUAUCUGCACGGCGACGAGUAAUCGGAGGACUGCGAAGAAGCGCUUUCAAAGUCCGCGCAGUUUCUAAGAAACGGGAGCCUGCGAAGGUGUUUCCUCAAGCUGAUAGAGUAUACUCGUCCGUCUUGAGCAGCGCCCUGAGGUGGAUUUGGGCACAGAUUCUAAGCACUGUUUCUGCAAAGCUGGUGAUUUGUUAGCUGUGGUUGAGUAGAGAAGCUUCCUCCAACACUACAAUCAGAUCAACAUCAGAUAUUUUCACUCAGAUUAGUUCUCUUCCCUGAUUCUCAUUUGCUUGUUGCUUCUGCAAUAUCUGAUCUUUGUUUUUGUCUUUAUUGCUUUGUGUGAUCCGUAUAAAGAUAUCAGUUCUUCUCAUUAGGAAGAAUACCUUACCUUAAAUUAUAUUUUAAAAAUUACUCAACCUUCAAAACAAAACUGAAGAAAAACAAGAAUAAAUGAUUUUUUUUAAUACUUUUUCCCCCUAGAGAAUGUAAAACCCUUUUCAAAUAAAUGAUUUUUGGUCUAAUUAUUGAUUUUUGGAUAGUUUGAUUCAUAAAAAUUUAGGAAUAAUAGGAUUCCAUAAACUUAAAAGACUUUAUGUAAUUCAAAUUAUUGUU